AUUAUCACAAAUGUCUAACUUUUUUUUGUUACGUUUUUUUUGGUGGCUGCUUGUCCUGCCCUUUGCCUUUAGCACUGUCAUGUUGGCGUGCUCUGGUGGACCAUCUUGGUGGUGAUGAGACUGGCGUGAUAUUUGGAGUAGUCGUACCAGAACUGCUGGUUGUUUGCUGUUGGUGCAUGCAUCUGAGUGUUUCAUUCAGCAUCUUACACCCAAUGUCAUACUGUAUGACUCAAGUGGACAUACAUAUCUUUAAUGGAUGUGGACAAGGCCAUUUAGUUUGGAUUCCAUUUCAGCUUUUACUUACUGCGUUUGAUACUCACAAUCAAGAUGAGGGGAGUGUGGAUGACGUCUUGGAGGUGUGUCCAAAAUUUGGAGUGGGAGGACAGAACAUACGGA